ACAAUCUGACGCUCCGACAGCGGCCUGCACUCAUCAAGCAGCUGGAGGAAGAGAAGAAGAAGCUGGAGCAGGAGCAUGCGGCGGCUGCUCCGCCACCACGCGAGUGGGAGGCGGACUCUGCUGCAUUCAAGGAGGCUGUCAGUGACCUGGCCGAGAGCGAGAUCAAGAAGAUCACCAGUGAAAUCGAGGUAGAGUGAUUGUGGUUGGGCAUGUGUAAGGCAGUCGGGGUAUAGGGCAGUGCCACGGCAGGCUGACUGUUGCGCUGCGGAAGUGUGCGCGGCGUUCACUAAUUUUGGGCUUCAUUGCAGGGCCUGGUGCUGGACUACAACAGCCUGAAGGUCAUAACGGAGAAGCUGGCGGGGAGGAAGAAGGAGCAGAGGUAUGCCAUCAAGGAGAAGCAGCGCGUGAAGGGGCAGCUUAGACAGCAGUGGGGCCGCUUGGCUGCCUGGUGCCGUGUGGACGCUGCAGGGCAGCAGGGACGGGAGGAGAAGGCACGCAACAAAAAGAUCUUGGAAGGGGGCUUGGCGGCGGUGCUUCGGGGGACGUUUCCAUGGGCCAGCGAUUCUGGGGCUGGAUCCAGCGGAGGGCGAGCAGUCGCUAGCCUUGUGCGCAGCUACAACCAGCGUGCUAGGGCGAAGGAGGAGCUGCGCUUGAUUGAGGCAGAGGUUGAGCGGGGCUGCGCCUACUACGAGCGCCGUGUGAGGAUUCUGAAAGCGGCGCAGGAAACAAGUGCGCCAGGCUUGGGGCUGCUGCUUAAGCCUCACCUUUCCCGCUGCGAGUUGAUGCUGAAAUCAUUUCAGGGACUGCAGCGCGGAGAUGUGCCGGACGACACUAGCCUUUCUGUGGAUACCGAGUAGGGUAGGCAUGCUGUUGUGCGCCGGCUGGCUUUGGUCGAGGUCGGCCGAUGGUGCUGUAAGUCGCAGAAUAGCAUUGAACAAGCAUACAAGUAAUGUUGGCAAGGCCGGCGGGGCCAGGCGGAGUAUUUGAGUUGGGCGGGUGUGCUCAGACAUGUCCGCUAGGGCGGGGGUUCGGGCGUGUCCCAGCCGGCACCCGGUUUGGUCGAGGUCGGCCGAUGGUGCUGUAAAUCGCAGAAUAGCAUUGAACAAGCAUACAAGUAAUGUUGGCAAGGCCGGCGGGGCCAGGCGGAGUAUUUGAGUUGGGCGGGUGUGCUCAGACAUGUCCGCUAGGGCGGGGUUGUGGCGGGUCGAGCUAUGGGCGGCUCCCCAGGGACCUUUUUGCACCGGGCUGGGGAGGGCAGAAAAGACCGAAAGCUCUAGGGGCUGGGGACCUAGGCAUCUCCCCAGGAACAAUUUGUAAUCAACCGCGAUGGCAGCACAGCUCCCCCGGGCCUCAAAAGCGUGCUGCCAUUGCCCGGCUUUCGCUCGCUGCCCAUCGCGCGCCCGGCACUCUCCUUCACUACCACUUGGCACCCCUCGCCAGCCAUAGUAAGCAGCCCCUGUACACAUAUGCACUAUACACUACCCCGCUACACAUGAUAUAGCUCCCCGGCACUAGUGGGGCCACCUCGACCAUGCUUAACAUGUCUGCGGCGACAACAUGAAAGAGUGGAAAGACAUCUACAAAAGUGACACAGUUGAAACCUCAUUAUUUAGGCGCAGUCGUGGUGGACGCAGGGGUGGCAUUGCAGCGGGCACUGGCGGCCGCCGUGGACGCAGCGAAGCGCAGCUAAGUGUAGGUGGUCAUUACACCGUCCACGAUCAUAAUGGUGUUGUAGAACAGGACGACGAGGAAGGAGCAGCCUACGUUCAACAUGCGGCGCCUCACACGCUCCCCGACGUUGAUAGCGACACCCUCAGCUCAGACCCCGCAGACAGCUCAGACGACGAUGGUGAGGGGGCCGGAGGCGCUGAGCCGAGGGGGCAGGAGACAAAAUAUCCGCUGCCAUACGAUAGCAGCGCUGUCGUGGAAGACUUCUUCCGCAGCGUCACAGCGGCUGAUAAGGUGUGCAGCGAACUGCGCACCGCGACCCAGAAGGUGCUGCAGUGCAGUGCGGACUUCGAGGCUGCCAGCACGGCGUGCCCUGUGUGUGGCAAGCCCGGAGAUCCCAAGGGCAUGCCCCCUUUCAAAGUCACAGUAGUGACCUGGGACCAGCCCGUGAGCAUUGAUGUGCCACACGUGACCUGCAGCAGCUGCAUGCGUGGGUACACCCUGCGGCCCACUGUGCUCGGCUGCCUGCCCGAUACCAUUGUAUCGUGGGAUUUGCUUCGGCAACGUGACGGCAAUGUCAUCCUCUGGUGGCAGACCAGCCUUCUACAGCAGUUCACCAGCCUACAAUACUACAACGGGCACCUGGGCAUGGACCGCUUUUGUGCGGCUCUCAUGGCCAACUGGCAGGAGAACGGCUGUGAUAGCCAGGGGCUUACGCUGACGCAGCUGAGGCAGCGCCUUAGUUCUACAUCGCAGCGGUACCGAUUUCUGCGCGGGCUAGUGGAGGACCUGCCGGAACAGCUUCCGGGCUGGCCCGCAGGAGCCCUCAACGCAUGCGCCUGCUGCGGUGAUGCCGAGGGUUGGCAUGGUACUGGCGCGGGCAGCAGCAGCGGCGGCGGCGGCGGCGGUGCUGCCGGUGGCGCGACCACGGCCGCAGCGCCCCUGGCGGAUCUGGCGCACAGGGCCCGGGGGCAGGAUGGGCCGGUGGCUGAGGCGGCGGCGCCAGACGCACCGAGCGCAGGUGCCGGCAUGGGCAGCAGCAGCGGCGGCGGCGGCGGCGGUGCUGCUGGCGAUGCGACCACGGCCGCCGCGCCUCUGGCGGAUCUGGCGCACAGGGCCCGGGGGCAGGACGGGCCGGUGGCUAAGGCGGCGGCGCCAGGCGCGCCCAGCGCAGGCGCCGGCAUGGGCAGCAGCAGCGGCGGCGGCGGCGGCGGUGCUGCCGGUGGCGCGACCACGGCCGCAGCGCCCCUGGCGGAUCUGGCGCACAGGGCCCGGGGGCAGGAUGGGCCGGUGGCUGAGGCGGCGGCGCCAGACGCACCGAGCGCAGGUGCCGGCAUGGGCAGCAGCAGCGGCGGCGGCGGCGGCGGUGCUGCUGGCGAUGCGACCACGGCCGCCGCGCCUCUGGCGGAUCUGGCGCACAGGGCCCGGGGGCAGGAUGGGCCGGUGGCUAAGGCGGCGGCGCCAGGCGCGCCCAGCGCAGGCGCCGGCAUGGGCAGCAGCAGCGGCGGCGGCGGCGGCGGUGCUGCCGGCGAUGCGACCACGGCCGCCGCGCCUCUGGCGGAUCUGGCGCACAGGGCCCGGGGGCAGGAUGGGCCGGUGGCUGAGGCGGCGGCGCCAGGCGCGCCGAGCGCAGGCGCCGGCAUGGGCAGCAGCAGCGGCGGCGGCGGCGGCGGUGCUGCCGGCGAUGCGACCACGGCCGCCGCGCCUCUGGCGGAUCUGGCGCACAGGGCCCGGGGGCAGGAUGGGCCGGUGGCUGAGGCGGCGGCGCCAGGCGCGCCGAGCGCAGGCGCCGGCAUGGGCAGCAGCAGCGGCGGCGGCGGCGGCGGUGCUGCCGGCAGCGGCGGCGCGAGCCCUUCACUUGGGUUCGCGUGGCGGCCAAUGCUGGCGGCCGCUGAGCCGGCUGGUCGAGGCCCUCCUAUCUUUCAUACUGGCGCGUUCGAUUGCAACUUCAAGCUAAGCCUGUUUAAGAAGAAGGGACUCACCCACAAGUACGGCCUCGACUACCGCCAACUGUCGCGCCGGCGGUACACCCUGGGCAAUGCAUACGUGAGGGGCUUUGAGCCGCCCAAGGGGUCUGCGGACGUAGGUCGCAAUGCGGACUGCUCCAGCUUCACCGCGGACAAGGUGCUGGCCAAGGAGGAGGCCGGGGUAAGAGGCAAGGCCAGGGGUGAGAUCAUAGAUUUGCUUUUCCCGCUACGCCGCUGUGCUGCUAUCCCGUGAUGUUGAGCUUGUCGCUGAAACGCCACGCGACCCUCGCUGCAGAAGCUUGUGACUGCAGCUGGCGUGGUCCUGUGUCGGCAUGGUAUGCUACUUCGCCUCGUCAACCUCUUUCACGGGGAACGUCACAUGUACGCGACGGCGGCGGCGGCGUCCAUCCUGGCUGCGGGAACCGCUGUGCAGUUCUGGUGGUACGAUAUUGCCUGCCGCUGGAGCAAGUCGUGGCAGAAGUGGCACCAAGCUCUGGACCCGUCAACGGCGUGGCUGGGCGUCGCAGCGGCCAUGGUCAGCCUCGUGCCGCCGUUCCACAGCUAUGCCCACAGGUGUGCUUACGGGGAGGGGGCGGGCGUUCGGGGCAUGUAGGUUGCAAAGUACUCUAGCUGCUAUCUUACUCCGCAUCCCUUCAACCAUGUGCCUGCAGCUACGAGUGCCAGAAGACUUUCGGGCACCAAGGGCAAACGGGGGCAGGGCGGGGCACAGGAGAGAUCGUCGAAAUCUUCAACUCGCAGGUCGGGAAGCAGGGCAAGGUGCUGCGUUACACGUCGCCUGCGCACCGUGAGAGUGUUCUGGAGGAUGUGGGGCGCCGCUACUGCCGCCAGGUAAGGCUUUGUCGAGUGUCGAGGGUAGGCAGGCGGCAGGUUAGGCAGGCGCUCAUUCUGUGUGCCGUGAUGUGCAGGUCGAGCUUGGCCUGCCCGCUCGGGUUUACCGCAUGCGGUUGCGGGCCCAGGCAGCACAUGAUGCAGCGCAGGAUCGGAUUGAGACUCUGGAGGCCACGCUGACGCCGCAACAGGUGCGACUGGACUUCCCUGUAGACUCGUGUUACCUUGCUUACGGUUUCCAUGUGCCCAGCAGGUCGAGAUGGCAUGUGCCGGGCAUGCCGCUCAGCGCUCCCAGCAGCGGCAUGACCAGCCCAAACGACACGCCAACGCGGAUGCAGUGGCAGGCGAGCCAGGGUGGAAGGCAGUGUAUGCCCGCUGCCGCCUGGCGCUGAUGAAGCUGCAGCGUCUGGACACGGUAGACAACCCGGCCGACCCCGUGCCUCUCAGGUGCGCAAGCGGUGAAAGCCUUAUCUGCAUGCCUUACUUUCUUGCUUGGAUUGCAGUCGCUGAUGCCAUAUGUUGCGUGGGUGCAGCGUUCUGGUUGCCGGAGGUGACAAUCUGACGCUCCGACAGCGGCCUGCACUCAUCAAGCAGCUGGAGGAAGAGAAGAAGAAGCUGGAGCAGGAGCAUGCGGCGGCUGCUCCGCCACCACGCGAGUGGGAGGCGGACUCUGCUGCAUUCAAGGAGGCUGUCAGUGACCUGGCCGAGAGCGAGAUCAAGAAGAUCACCAGUGAAAUCGAGGUAGAGUGAUUGUGGUUGGGCAUGUGUAAGGCAGUCGGGGUAUAGGGCAGUGCCACGGCAGGCUGACUGUUGCGCUGCGGAAGUGUGCGCGGCGUUCACUAAUUUUGGGCUUCAUUGCAGGGCCUGGUGCUGGACUACAACAGCCUGAAGGUCAUAACGGAGAAGCUGGCGGGGAGGAAGAAGGAGC
rnacentral:lncRNA from 1 species